AUUGAACGCUGGCGGCAGGCUUAACACAUGCAAGUCGAGCGGGGAAAGGUAGCUUGCUACCUGACCUAGCGGCGGACGGGUGAGUAAUGCUUAGGAAUCUGCCUAUUAGUGGGGGACAACAUUCCGAAAGGAAUGCUAAUACCGCAUACGCCCUACGGGGGAAAGCAGGGGAUCUUCGGACCUUGCGCUAUGAGAGGAGCCUAAGUCAGAUUAGCUAGUUGGUGGGGUAAAGUCCUACCAAGGCGACGAUCUGUAGCGGGUCUGAGAGGAUGAUCCGCCACACUGGGACUGAGACACGGCCCAGACUCCUACGGGAGGCAGCAGUGGGGAAUAUUGGACAAUGGGCGAAAGCCUGAUCCAGCCAUGCCGCGUGUGUGAAGAAGGCCUUUUGGUUGUAAAGCACUUUAAGCGAGGAGGAGGCUACUUGGAUUAAUACUCUAGGAUAGUGGACGUUACUCGCAGAAUAAGCACCGGCUAACUCUGUGCCAGCCGCCGCAGUAAAAC
rnacentral:rRNA from 1 species